rnacentral:rRNA from 1 species
UACGGAGGGUGCAAGCAUUAAUCGGAAUUAUUGGGCGUAAAGGGCGCGUAGGCGGGUAAGUAAGUCAGAUGUGAAAUUCCGGGACUCAAUUCCGGAGCUGCAUUUGAAACUGCUUGUCUUGAGGAUUGGCGGAGAGAACGGAAUUCCACGUGUAGCGGUGAAAUGCGUAGAUAUGUGGAAGAACACCGGUGGCGAAAGCGGUUCUCUAGCUAAUAACUGACGCUGAGGCGACGAGAGCAAGGGGAUCAAACAGG